AAGUGAAGUAGAGGACAGUGGCGGACGGGUGAGUAACGCGUGAGGAACCUGCCUUUCAGAGGGGGACAACAGUUGGAAACGACUGCUAAUACCGCAUGACACAUAGAGAUCGCAUGGUUUUUAUGUCAAAGAUUUAUCGCUGAAAGAUGGCCUCGCGUCUGAUUAGCUAGUUGGUGAGGUAACGGCCCACCAAGGCGACGAUCAGUAGCCGGACUGAGAGGUUGACCGGCCACAUUGGGACUGAGAUACGGCCCAGACUCCUACGGGAGGCAGCAGUGGGGAAUAUUGGGCAAUGGGCGCAAGCCUGACCCAGCAACGCCGCGUGAAGGAAGAAGGCUUUCGGGUUGUAAACUUCUUUUGUCGGGGACGAGUAGAAGACGGUACCUGGCGAAUAAGCCACGGCUAACUACGUGCCAGCAGCCGCGGUAAUACGUAGGUGGCAAGCGUUGUCCGGAUUUACUGGGUGUAAAGGGCGUGUAGCCGGGAAGGCAAGUCAGAUGUGAAAUCCACGGGCUUAACUCGUGAACUGCAUUUGAAACUGUUUUUCUUGAGUAUCGGAGAGGCAAUCGGAAUUCCUAGUGUAGCGGUGAAAUGCGUAGAUAUUAGGAGGAACACCAGUGGCGAAGGCGGAUUGCUGG
rnacentral:rRNA from 1 species